rnacentral:lncRNA from 10 species
CAGAAACAAUUUCAGAAAUAAGUAUGCUACCUUCCCCUGCUGAUUGAAACCACUAACCUUCCAAAAAAUGACAAUUUAUAUACAGGACAUUACACCUCAUCGCCUUUUUCUGUGAAUCUAAUUGGUCCUUAUUCAUGUGUUAACAAUUCCAUUGACUUAAUCAUAGCUUCAUUUUCAUUCCUUGCGUGACAGCUUCUCAAUUUCAUUGUUUCUGAAGUUUCCUAUGGUAGACUCAAGAUCCUUGAUCUUGGUCAAGGAAAAGGCAUAGAAUUUAGGGUCCUAUAGAAAAGUCCAUAUGAGUUUAAGUUGAGGAUAACUCAGAUUGCUUAAGAGCCAGUUCUGCAGGAUAUUUGUGCGAGCAUAAUAGUUUUCUCCCUCACCACCUCCUCCUCUGAUUGUGCGUCCCGUGUCUUCAUUUAAUCAAUGCUCAUUUCAGCAAACACAAGGCAGAGUUGCUCAUUUACUUUUGAAUGGCAUCUCAUUUUGACAGGGGCUGCCAGGAUGCCACAUCUUCCAUGACAAAAAUUUCAGUGAAAUGGCCAACCAGGUUGAAAUCUUUAUUUUAGGACUAUUUAUGUGUUCCCCAAUAUAUGAUCUUCCUCUCACUCUAUUUUUAUCACAUGUACAUCCAAUUCACAUAAGUUAUUUCAGACGUCUCAGCCUUUGUAAACUUGGCAAAUUCUAUUUUAGUCCUUGGAGCAAAAUUUCUCCUCUCACUGUCACCCCAUUCUUCUGAAUAACUCCACCUUUUCUUUUCAGACUUUAUUGAAGCCACACUGCACUGGGAAGUGUUCAGGGAAAUCUUCAUUCAUAGGGUACCUUGCCAACAGGAACAAGAUGUUUUGCCUCAUCAAUAAAGACUGCACCCAACCAGAUAAGGAUGUAACCAAGCACACUCUUCCACUGUCAGUCUUCAUCAGAGGACUCUGUGACCAUAAAAACAGCAGGACUUCAGCAGCUUAAAACAGCCAUCUUAACAGACCCCAUCUUGCUGUAACUUGUAAUAAGCACCCACCAUCUGCCGUAAAAGCAUCUACCCACAUCGAAGAUGCUUCCUUGUAAGAUCCGUGGACCUCCUGGCCUCUUUUUGUCCUUGUCCCUCUCCCUAGACUGGUUCAUUAACCCUUUAUCCUGUCCCCUUUCUCUUGAUGUUAAAUGUUACUUUGUUUGUUGUGGAAAGCUUAAUCUGUAACAUUUAUAUAUUGGUUAAGUAUAUUAUUAUGCAUGGUUUGCAAUACUGACUGACUUGUGGAGUGGCUUGAGCCUGUGUGCCCACGUCUCUGACUACCAAGUCAAUGGGAAGUAGUAGGAGAAUUGUCCCCUUCGGAACUUCAUGUAGCUCAUGGCUUUUAUGAUUGAAAUAGCAUCAGUAAAAGUGUGACCUUGUGGAAAGACACAGAUAUACAUGAACCUGGUUAUCUCUGACUUUGCAACACUCACAAUAGGUACUAUAUGAAGUUUCAUGCAUCCACUCAAGGUCUUGUAACAUAUCUCCCAUGGACAAGGGAGUACUACUAUUUUCUGUUUCUAACAAUUAAUUCAAAAUGGAUUUCAGGCAAUUGAGCAUAUAUGAACCCAGGCUGCAUUGACGAUAUUAAAUAAUUGAUAAUAUUAAGGAACUACUGUUAAAUUUUAUUUUAUUUAUUUAUUUUUUUUCUGAUGGAGUUUCACUCUUGUUGCCCAGGCUGGAGUGCACUGCCGUGAUCUUGGCUCCUGGAUUCAAGAGAUUCUCCUGCCUCAGCCUCCCAAGUAGCUGGGAUUACAGGCACCCGCCACCAUGCCCACCUAAUUUUUGUAUUUUUAGUAGAGACAGGAUUUCCUCAUGUUGACCAGGCUGGUCUCGAACUCCUGACCUCAGGUGAUCUACCCGCCUCGGCCUCCCAAAGUGCUGGGAUUACAAACGUGACCCACCAAGCCUGGCUACUGUUACAUUUUAAAGAGUGAUUAGGCUGUUAUGGUUGUGUUAAAAAGAAGUUCUUGCAUUUAGACAAGUAACACAUUAUUUUGAAUGAAGCUAUACACUAUGUCUUUUAUAAAUAACACAUGAAGGGGUGGUUGUGUUCCCGGACUGAACCGAGAUUCAGGCUGCUCAUUCUCGGCAGCCCAAUAACAAGAUGCAGAUGAACUCGGAAAGAAGAGAGUUUAUUUCUGUAACUGGGUACAGGGAGAAGGCGGGGAAAAUAUCGCCAGACAAACUCAAAUUACAAAGUUUUCCAGAGCUUGUAUAUCUUCUAAGCUAUAUGUCUACGUGUAAGCGUGCAUUCAUCUAAAGACAUUGGUGAUGAACUUCUAAUCUAUAACUAAGGUCUGAGUCCUGAAGGCCUUUCUCUGGAGCCUCAGUAAUUGGCUUAAUCUAGAUGGGUCCAAGUGCUGGGGUGAUUACCCUUAUCUUGUCUCCUGCUAAAUCAUGGAGGUUUGGGGAGUUCCUCUAGACCCCCAACAAACUUGUUUGUGGAGGCCUGGGGAGUUUCUUCAGACCCCCAAUAAAACUGUUUAAUCCUAAAAGGGUCCUGUUAAGAAUUCCUUCAUUAUCUUGUCAUGCCUGAAGGCCCAGGAGAGGCCUGGGCAGAACUCUUGGUGGGCUUUUGUUACAUUCCAGCCUUUGUAUGAGGACACUGGCUCUUUCAGCUUUUAAUAUUUAACUUCACCACUCGGUCAGUGCUGAAACAGUUGUUACAAAGGCCUGCCUGUUCAGCUGUUAGUGAGGCCUGGACUGCCACCGUAGUGCGACUCAAGUUUGCCCAUGUAUGGAUAACUGUUGAAGCUAGUUACUAAGUACAUGAGACUUCAUUAUAAUUUUAUAUAUAUAUGUGUGUGUGUGUGUGUGUGUGUGUACGCAUAUACAUUCUAACUUUUUUUUAAAGUAAGGCAAGUCCUUUUCACAGGAUAGAAUAACUUUUGACAGCCAGUAAAAAUAUACAUUUAUGAGAUGUAUGAUAAAACACAAUCUUUAGGAAAUGAUUAGCAAAAUUAAAAUGAUAACAAUAACUGUGGGAAUUGAGAGUUCGAAAGCUUCUAUAUUUGUGCAGUAAUUCUAAGCUGGCACCCAGGCAUCGUCCGUCAUCUGGCCCACCAUUUGUAUAUGCUUUUUAUUCUCAUGUUCUCAUAAGACCCACUCCACCACCAGGCACACAAUUUGUGUUCUGAGCAGGAAACAGGAAAAUCUGAAUGGGAAUUUUCACUGCAAGAAAUUAUUGCUUAUGUUUAUUGACCACAUAUGAGGCACAGAAGUGACUUGGCACCACACUACAGAAUUAGCCGGGAAAUCAAGCACCUUGGUGUUGUCGCCCUGUAGUGUGAGAAGACAAGGAAAACUAAGUUUGCAUGGGCGUUGAGUGAGCUCAUGUACGAUACCUGCCACAAUAAUUCUAUUUCUCCACCCAGUAAAGAGUUUAGGAAUAGAAGAGCCAUGCAUUACAGGCCAAUGGAAUAUGAAGGCAACAUGUAUAAUAUGGGACAUUGUGGUCUGCCAUUUUCCCUGAAAUCAUGGCAAGUAUUUUGGGAAUAUUAAUGAAGCCAGGUCAAGGACAGAAAAUGACAAAGCAAAGAAAUGAAAAAACCCUGAACCCUCAAGGCCAUCACACACUUAUUAUUUU